UCAGCAACACUUGCCUCCUCUUCUUCUACCCAGGGCACACGGAUAAAGGGAAAGUGGGGUGUAUAUAAAGAAAGAAUGCAGGGCGAGGAAAUUGAAAUGAAACACAAUAGUUCUCUUCCCUCUUGUUGCAGGAGAGGGAACAUAAGGCUAUUUGUUUUUUCCCCUUUUUCUACUAUAUGGCAUCGGGAGACCCCUGUGAAAGAGCAGUUGAGACAACAGACGGAGAUGAACACACUCCAGCUGGAGAACGAUGAUUGGCCCAGGGGACUUGGACUGAGGGAACACGUGCAGACCAAAUCAACAGACAAUAGCGCACGGUUUGAGGUUGCUCUGUGUUGCCAGGGCACAGUAGGGGUUCCAUAAGCGUUGGUUUAAGCGUCUGUGGUGAUUGGGUCUUUGAAGAUGGAGGAAGACAUCUGUCUGGAUGACAAGGACAGGACAAGUCAACCUGUCUCACCUCAAGGACUGCUGGCUAUGGAUGAUAGCACCAGGAAAAAAAUAUAUGUUCCUCAAAUACCUGAAGUUCUAUCAAGCCAUCCAGAACUAUAGCAUGUGGAAUUAUGUUAAAUCAAGUUACGUUGGAAAUUACAACUUCCUGUGUUUAAUACCGAUGUAUGCAGUGGCCUAGCAAGACAACUCUUUAAGAUCAACUACAUGUGACAAUCUUUCUUACUGUAGCUAUAUGCAGUAUUACUAUCUGUGUGUUUAGAGUCAAUGUGAUAUGAAGACUAACUAACUGCCCCAGGGUCAAAUCCCUCUCUUUAUAAACUGGGUGGUUCGAGCCCUGAAUGUUGACUGGCUGAAAGCUGUGGUAUAUCAGACCGUAUACCACGGGUAUGACAAAAAAAUGUAUGCUUACUGUUCUAAUUACGUUUGUAACAAGUUUAUAGCAAUAAGACACCUCAGGGGUUUGUGGUAUAUGGCCAAUAUCCACAAAAUGACCUAAAGUAUGUGGACACCUGCUCGUCGAACAUCUCAUUCCAAAAUCAUGGGCAUUAACAUGGAGUUGGUUCCCCCUUUGCUGCUAUAACAGCCUCCACUCUUCUGGGAAGGCUUUCCACUAGAUGUUGGAACAUUGCUGCGGGGACUUGCUUGAAAUCCAGCCACAAGAGCAGUAGUGAGGUCGGGCACUGAUGUUGGGCGAUUAGGCCUGGCUCACAGUCGGCUUUCCAAUUCAUCCCAUAGGUGUUCGAUGGAGUUGAGACCAGUCAAUUUCUUCCACACCGAUCUCGACAAACCAUUUCUGUAUGGACCUCGCUUGGUGCACAGGGGCAUUUUCAUGCUGAAACAGGAAAAGGC